GCAUCGAUGAAGAACGCAGUGAAUUGCGUUAAGAAUCACGAAUUACAGAUAUUAUGAGUGAUAUGUUUUCGAUUGCAUAUUGCAUCGUUGGGCACUUGCCCAUCGGUAUACCCAACUCAGGGUGUGUAUCACCAAUUGAAAGACACAAUGCACUUGUUGGUUGUUUCUAAAACUGGAGGUUUGUAGUACUAGCUGCUUCAAACUUACUGUUACGGUGUGGCUGAAUUGUGGAAAUGAAGGAGAAUGAGGUUGAAAAUGCUUAGUGGUUGUUUGGAAGUUUAAUGAAUUUUUGAGCUUUCGGUGACUAUUCGGUUUUUUGACUUUUCCACACAGCCUUAAACACACCAGCCAAUCGUUUUUGGUUUAAUCCACCUGAGUCGGAUAUGAUCACCCGCCGAACUUAAGCAUAUCAAUAAGCGGAGGA
rnacentral:rRNA from 1 species